GUUAGGACAAGGCAUGGUAAAACAACACUGUGUGGGGUCAGGUAAAAUGUAAUGAAAUUAUUGGUGAAAUUGUUUUAUUUGAUAUGAGAGGCGUAUUUAAAGGCGYUAUAUAGGUUAAAUAGAUUAAAUUGUUUUGUUUAGUUAGUAUGAAUAGUAUAGAAGUCAUGUUGUGUUGAGGUACUGUAAAGGAAUGAGUGUAUGGGAAUGUAAUUUGCGUAUAGUAGAGUUUAAGUCUCGUACCUUUUGCAUAAUGGAUUGAUGAUUUUUAGUGUUAUAUUAUGUAAUCUCGAAGUGAAAGGAUUUACUUAAUGGGGAUAUGUUAACGUUGUAUAGUUAUAUAAUGAUCUUUAAGUGGUAAUGAUAUGUUUAUCGUUUUUCAUGAUAGCUAGUUUAUUAGUGAAGAUAUUUAAGUAUCAUAGUAUUAAUACAAUGAAAGUUGUUUGAUAUUAGUGUAUAGCGUGGGGGAUAAGCUCCACGCAGCGUUAUAGAAGUUGAUGAAUAGUAGUUAAGGGAUUUAAGUAGAAUUAAUAAUGUUUUUCUUUGAAAGUAGUUUAAAUUGUGUAACGAUUCGUUUUUAACUUCAUGGUGUAUAAACAAUAAAUGUUUAAAAAUUUAUAUUUAGGUAAAUAUAAUGUUAAUAUGAGUAUUGGUUAGAAUUUCAUAGUUAGUAUAUCCAAAAGCGUUGUAGUUGUGGAUGGUUUACGUUAAGAAAAAGUUAAGUAAGGUGAAGGAAUUCGGCAAAUAUUAAUCUCGCCUGUUUAUCAAAAACAUGUCUCUUUGUAAAAUAUAAAUAGAGAGUCGGGCCUGCUCGGUGAAUAAGUUUUUAACAGCUGCGGUAUUUUAACUGUACUAAGGUAGCAUAAUAAUUUGCCUUAUAAUUUGAGGCUAGAAUGAAUGGUUUGACGAAGGUUAAUCUGUCUCCAUCUUAUUUUUUAGAAGUUAAUUUUUAAAGUGAAAAAGCUUAAAUUUUUCAAAGGGACGAGAAGACCCUAAUGAGCUUAUAAUUUUAUUAUCAUUAUUUAAAACAUUUAGGUGGUGGUAUAUAAAUUUUAAUUGGGGUGAUUAAGGAAUAAAUUGUGUAUAGUAACUUCCUUAAAUUAGGUAUUUGUAGAUAAAGUAACCAAUGUAAUAUUGCUUAUAGUAUAGUUACCAUAGGGAUAACAGCGUAAUUUGUUUAGAGAGUUCUUAUUGAAAAACGAGAUUGCGACCUCGAUGUUGGAUUAAAGUAACCCUAAGGUGCAGAAGCUUUAGUAGGUAAAUCUGUUCGAUUUUUAAUACUUUACAUGAUCUGAGUUCAGACCGGCGUGAGCCAGGUUGGUUUCUAUCUUUUAAAAAUGAGUGUUGCUUCUUUUAGUACGAGAGGACCAAGGAAAGCUGAAAGUAUUAUUAAAAU
rnacentral:rRNA from 1 species